rnacentral:misc_RNA from 1 species
GGACUACUCGGGUUUCUAAUCCUGUUUGAUACCCACACUUUCGAGCAUCAGCGUCAGUUACAGUCCAGCAAGCUGCCUUCGCAAUCGGAGUUCUUCGUGAUAUCUAAGCAUUUCACCGCUACACCACGAAUUCCGCCUGCCUCUACUGUACUCAAGACACCCAGUAUCAACUGCAAUUUUACGGUUGAGCCGCAAACUUUCACAACUGACUUAAGCGUCCGCCUACGCUCCCUUUAAACCCAAUAAAUCCGGAUAACGCUCGGAUCCUCCGUAUUACCGCGGCUGCUGGCACGGAGUUAGCCGAUCCUUAUUCAUACGGUACAUACAAAAAGGCACACGUGCCUCACUUUAUUCCCGUAUAAAAGAAGUUUACAACCCAUAGGGCAGUCAUCCUUCACGC